rnacentral:piRNA from 1 species
UCACCACUGUGUGCAAAGAACCCCAUGAA